CCUACGGGUGGCAGCAGUGAGGAAUAUUGGUCAAUGGCCGGAAGGCUGAACCAGCCAAGCCGCGUGAAGGACGAAGGUGCCAAGCAUUGUAAACUUCUUUUGUCAAGGGACAAAAUCAGGCUCGAGAGCCUGACCGAGGGUACUUGAAGCAAAAGCAUCGGCUAACUCCGUGCCAGCAGCCGCGGUAAUACGUAGGGAGCGAGCGUUAUCCGGAAUUAUUGGGGUUAAGGGGUGCGUAGAUGGCAUAGUAAGUCUUUUGUAAAAAUGCUGGGCUAAACCCCAUAGGGCAAAAGAGACUGCAAAGCGAGAGAAUGACAGAGGCAAGGGGAAUGACAGGUGUAGCGGGAAAAGGCGUAAAGAUAUGUAAGAAAACCAGUGGCGAAGGCGGCUUGCUGGGUGGAUACUGACAUUGAGGCACGAAAGCGUGGGGAGCAAACAGGAUUAGAUACCCCAGUAGUC
rnacentral:rRNA from 1 species